AUAAGAACGAUAAGGGCGACCGCUAGGGUCGCCCAUUUUGUAUCUCCGCUUAACAAUUUUGGUUUGGCCGCCGAUCAGUUAAGAAGAGUGCAUAACUGGCGUUACGCAUAGCUGGCUGUUAGCUAGAUUCCUUACUAAAUUACUACUAACAGUUUUUGUAACCAAAACCCGAGCAUUGCUCGGGUUUUUUGUU
rnacentral:sRNA from 1 species